CUGAACUUUACAAAAACUCUUCACCAUCUUUUAUCAGGGUUUGAACCAACUGCUCUCAGACACCUGCAGUGAUGGCUGACAUGAUGCUUCUCAUAAGAUGGAAAGCCACCACCCACCCUUAAAGCUUGUGUUUGUUCUCCUGAUGGGAGGGUUGGCUCAGAACAUGAGGUGGAAACAAGCAGCACAGACUGAAAACUCAGAGCCAGUAACUGGACUGAUCAAAAGUUCAGUCAGAAAACACAGCAUCAUGAUCAUUUUCAUCUGUCUGACCCUGAAUGUUGUUCUGGUUUCAGGUUCAUCCCUCAGCGACAAAGUCCUCCAGACUCCAGCUGACCUCUUCAGCAAGCAGGGAGAAGCAGCCAAGAUAAACUGUUCACACAGGAUUCAGGACUAUGAUCGUAUCUUCUGGUACAAGCAGUCAAAGAGCAGAGAGAUGCAGCUCCUGGGAUACAUGAAUGUAAAUGAUGGACAUCCUGAAGCUGGACUGAGUGUGAAGAUGGAAGGGGCCGCGACGAAAGACAAGACCUGCACUUUGACCAUUGACGGACUCGACGUGAGCAGCAGUGCGCUUUACUUCUGUGCUGCUAGUCGACACGGUGCUACAUAUCAGCGCUCCUCAGUACAAAAAGCUCUCGGUGUGUCAGCUCACAGCCCCUCACAGCUGGAUUAA